rnacentral:lncRNA from 1 species
UAGAACUGGAAAGGACUUAACAGUUGAUAUAGUCCCAAAGUGGUUUAGUCACUUGCCUAAAGUCACACUAGAACAUAAAAGAGAUUGCUAACUCCUUUUGUCUUAACUUCUUCCAGAGUCUUUCUUUCUCUUCAGAGACCUGACGAGAUUUGGAGUCAUGUGUUCUCUCUUGGGGCUGAAAGCCAUAAGACCUUGGAAUAUCUCUUCUCUCCACCUCUCACUUAACUGCUUGUCCCUUAUGCAGGAACGGGGUAGAAUUGGGUAAUCAUUCUCCAGGAAUGAAGAGAAAGCUCAGUAAAACUGGCCUUUGAGUCAAGUGCUACACCAGCAGUGGUUGCCAAUCCAAAAAAAUUGACUGUCCUAGACCACCAAAAAUAAACUCCUUUGGAUUCAUAAUUUACCUUGGACAGAAAUUUUCCACUUGGUACUGUGGGAGUAAAAGCCGAUUGAACAAAUUCUGGCAAUGUUAGCCACCUGAACAGUGGAGGCAGGAGCCCAAAAUCUCUACCAAGAAGCUAUCAGUUUAUAGAUCAGAUCUGCCAUCCUCCUCUGCUGCAGGGAGGAAGAGGGUUGAUUCUGAACAGAAAGACAACAGAACACUUCCAUAAUGUUCUCAAAAGACCAUCAUCAAUCAAUGCUGAAACCACUGACUACAUACCUCAGCUUAAAGGUAAUUUCUCUCUAGAUAUACUUCCAACUGAAGAAGUAUUUUUUAUUCUUUAAAAAUUUUUAAUAACAAAUUUCCACUUAAGUUUUCCAAAGUCAUAGGAUCCAUAUUGUUUCCCUCCCUUUUCUGCUCCCACCUCCUGGAGCUGACAAGCUAUUCAGUCUGGGUUAUACAUGUAUUAUCACAC